GGGCAACUCCUAUUCAUAUACAACAUUAUCAACCCUCUUCUAGACUCAGUACAGUCCAAACUACCGGGGACUAAGAUUCCCCUUGUUUCCAUACCGCAUCACUCCCUUUAUACAAGAUACCUUUAAUAAUACCCUAUACCCAACCUCAAACUAUAACUUUCUACCAUUCAUAACUACAUACGACUUCUAGUGAAUUUGGGUGACUUUGAGCCUAUCCCAAAUCACCUUCACCUUCUUCAUGACUUGGUGA
rnacentral:lncRNA from 1 species